UUCUAAUCAAGCAAGUGUUUUUGUUAACUUACGCGUUUAUGUUCAGAGGCUAUGUCACGGAUCAAUGUAGUGAUAAUGCAUUUACGUGCUCGUGAACCUGAGAAUGAACUUGCAUAUGAUAAUGCUGUUUCUACCCUUGGUAAAAUAUUUCAGUUUCAUCGAGAACUUAUCGACUCAGCCCAGGUUUGUCCUUCUCAGAAUCCCUAAUGUUAAGUCUUGUUAUAAUUUCUGAUUCUGAAUCCUUGUGUAGGUCAUUCCCAUUUGGUUGAAUUGCCUGCCUAUAAAAGGUGACCUUGCUGAAGCCAAAUAUGUUCAUGGUCAACUAUGUUCCAUGGUUGAAAGGUAUUGGAUUUGUUUGGAAACUCUAAUAUGUUAUAACUUUCAUAAAAUGCAGGAUUAUUUUAUCCAACGUUUUGUUGGAAAUAUUAUAUUAUCAUAAGACUAUUUAUUCCACCAUUUAUACCUUAAAAUGUGAUAAGUUAUUUCAUCCCGAAAUAGUUGAUGUCAGGAUAACUUAUUCCGAACCAAACCAUCCCUUAAUGAUUUAUCAAAUUUUCUCAAUUGCAGGUCAGAUAGAGAACUUUUGGGUACCAAUUAUGAACACUUCCCAAAAAUUAUGUCAGUUUUUGCAGAGGUUAGUUCCAUAUCAGAAUCUAUAGAUGCCAGUUUGAGUUGUUUAUUUGCUCAUGUUACAUAUUAAAUGAGAUAAAUAUUGAAAACAUAAUUAUUAAUUUCAUAAUCAAACUAUUAACAAUCUUAAAAACACUCAUUUCUUUGACUAACUAAACUUAAAUACACUCCCGAUCUUGCAACAUGACCAAAAUACAUCCCUAAUUUAAGGGUGCUUUCAACACUCCUCUAUGUAAUGUGGCAGAUCAGAGAUGUAUUUAAGUUUAAUCUGGUCAAGUAGAUAUGUGUUUUUAAGACUAUCAAUAAUUCAAGAACGAAACGAACAAUUUGUGUCAAGUUUAAGAGUGUUUUUGAAUCAAACUAAAGACAUUUUUUAUUCCAUUUUUAAGGUUAUAUGUGGUGGAAAACAUCUUGCUACAGAAGAAACAACAAAGUGUAUGAUUAAUCUGUUGAGGAAUCUUCUUAAAGAACUACCACCAGACACUUUGACAUCAGCAUGGUCAUUGAUAUUGCCUCAGCAAGAAAUGGAACUAAAAGCCAUUUUAUUUCCUGGAAUACUUCAUGUGGUACGUUUUCACAACAAAACAUUUUGUAUGCUUGACACUGAUACCAAUGAAAGCUCUCCCCCUUACUCUUUACCAUCCAAAAUUGUCAAACUUCUUGAGGAAGAACACCAGAAAAAUAGUAUUAUUGUUCCACAAAUGUAACUUAUAAACCAUAAAUUGUAUCUUUAAUUAAGUUUUGUAUCAUUUAAGUAUACAAGAUGAUACUAUAGUUGAUUUGUGGGGAAUUGAAUAUGUAAUUAUCAUUAAACUAUCUAUUUUAUAUCUUUUUUACGAUUUAUCUAUCCAUUUGGAAUUUCUUUAUUUUUAAUUUUUCAUAAGUUGAAAUUCAUAUUGUGGCAUAUAAUUUAAAUAAUUAUUUAUUCAAAUUAAACAAGUCAAACCUUAAGGACCUAAAAUCUAAACCUGACGGCAUAAACCAUAAACCUUGAGGGGUCGUUUGGUGUGAAAGAUAACUUUAAAUAGUCCUGCGAUUAAAUUAUAAUGUCACUAAAUUUGUUGUUUGAUUGGCAAUUUGGUGAUAAGUUAUCUCGUGAUUAAUAAUUAAUACAAGGAUAAAUUAUCCCUUCCCUUGGGUGGUACAAUAAUCCCGAGAAAACUUAUCACGAGAUAAAAUGACUAAAUGACAAAAAUAUCCCUUCAAACACUUUUUAUACAUUACUUUUCAUAUUCAUGAACGGUAUUUUUCUAAGCAUCAUAACUUGAAUUCAAACCAAACGACUGCACCUUAGAGCCCAAAAAAUAAACUCAAAAUCAUAAACUCUAAACCUUAAACCUUAGGCCUCAACCUUAAAAUCUAAACCAUAAACCCAAAACUCAAAAGCUUGGGGCCUAAAACCUAAGAUCUACGAUUUAUGGUUUAGGAUUUAGGAUUUAGACUCUAAAAUUUAUAUUCUAGGGGUUGUAGUUUAUCGUUUUGACUAUAAGAUUUAGGAUUUAAGAUUUAUAAUUUUAAGAGUUUAGGCCUUAUGGUUAAGUGUUUAGAGAUAAGAUUUAUAAUUCAUGUAUAAAUUAAAAUAUAGGGUUUAGGCCCAAGGUUCAUAUGGUUUUAUGAUUUAUCAAAAGCCAAUUUGAGGUCAAUUUUUAAGCACAAUUGAACCAAACCCAUUUGAACCCAAAAUAAAUUUGAACGGAUUGAUCAACUUCGUGUAUUUUUUUCUACACUUUUGACUCUUCAUCACCUUUCUACAAUUACAAUUGUUUCACAAAUCCUUUUUUUAAAAUCUUUCAAACAUAAUUAUAAAAAAUAUCUUAGUAAAUCCAUUCUAUUUCCUAAUCCCUUUCAUAAAACAAAUAAUCAAAAUAGCCUCAGAAGGAAGGCAGUAGUAUAGUCAUAAUCAUUAUUUUGACCAUUAACGCAAAACUACUCAUCAUCGGACAAAAAAAUAAUAAAUUAAAAGAAACAAAAAACAAUUAUUAUUGUAAUGCUUGAAAGUUUUGCAAUUUUCCUAAUUCAAAAUUAUUGACUAUCGAUUUUGAUAAUGUAUUUCCCAAAAUUGUUGUGUGAAAUACACGAGUAAAAUACAUCUGAACUCAAAAUUCAAAAUACAUUUCAAAACUCAAAAUUAAGAGUCAAAUUUGUGCAUAAAAUUUAGGACUUGAAAUCUAAACUCAAAAUUUGAAACCAUAUACCUUAGGGCAUAGAUCCUAAACCUUAAGAGCCUAAACUUUAAACAUUAUGUCCAAAAUUAUGAACCCUAAAUCUUGAACCUUAAAUCCCAAGUCAUAAACCCUAAAAUCUUAGAACUUAAACCCAAAACUCUAAACCUUAAAGCCUAAACCUUAAACCUUAAACCUUAAACCUUGAAAGCCUAAAUCUUAAUGUUUAGGAUUUAUGAUUUAUGGUUUUUGAUUUUAAAAUUUAAGAUUUAGAGUUCAGACAAUAUGGUUAAGAGUUUUAAGUUUUAUGAUAUAAGAUUUAGGCCUUAAAAUUUGAAGUUUAGAUUUUAACAAUUAGGCUCUAAAAACUUUAAGAUUAAAAAUACAGCAUUUGAACAUUAUAAUAAAUAAUUAUGUAGUACCCCAACGACCAAAUACACCACAAAAAUUAGAUGCAAAGGAUAGCGAGGGGAACAUUAUUAUAGCUUCACUUGCUAAAGUAUCACACUACAAAAAGUGAAAUCCACAAAAUAUAAUUAGCAAAAGCAUAGUACAAUUAACAACAUAUCCAAUAAAAUCACAGUAAAUUUAUGCAAAUCUUAUCAUUAUCUCGUAAAAAUAAAAAUAAAAUAUGAAAACUACUUAGUCCCUUAGAUGUUCAAUUAAUUGCGAUCAUCUUCGCAAAUCAUUACAGGUCUGUAACUGUAAAAAAUUAAUCAUCACUGUUGUUUCCAUUGAAUAAAAUAUAUAAAAAAAAUUUUGAUGAACAAACUCAGUCCCUUAGAUGUUCAAUUUGUUGCGAUCAUUUUCGCAUAUCAUUACAGGUCUGUAACUGUAAAAUAUUACUCAUCAUUGUUUAUUCAUCAAAAAAAUAUUCUGAAUUUUUUUUUUUUUAAAAAAAAGUUGUAGCUGCUCCAAUUGUUCUCCACAGAUUAAAUUAAAUGAGGAGAAAGAUGAAAAAGGAACAACACACUUAUAAUGCUUCAAGGGAACGAGUUGGUCAAAAAUAAAUUAUUUCUUGCCAACCAGAUUAAAGAAGCAUAUAACUCAAAAUAUAUACACAAAAAUAAUAAAUUUAUUUAGAGUUUAGAAGAUAUAUCACCAUUGUUGAAGAUUUCAAUCGGCAGCUGCAGAAGAGAGAAAUUGUUGUGUUUUGAAGUACACGCAAAACUCAAAAACAAGAAAAUUAUCCAUCUAGCUGGAUAUGAUUAUUAUGCAUAAUGAAUAAAGGAAACAGCUUAAGAGAAAAACUGGUCCGUUAGAUCUCCUCUUUCAAUCGCAAUCUUCUAUUUCUGCACAGCAAAGAAACACUUCUCAAAUAUAUUUUACGAAAGAUUUAACAGGUAAAAGUGUACAAGCUCAAAAUAUGAUGCAAUUAAUCUUGAGUCAGUUACCUGUUAAACCAGUGUUGCCGCUUUUUAUAUGCAAGGGGUAAAUAAGGACCUUGGGCUCUGCAUUUCCAUAUCCUUCUUGCACUUCUUUAAAGUCCUUAACUGAUUUUUCAAGAGACUCACCACAUCGUUUUACUUCAACCAUCUUUAGAUAAUGCAUAUGUCCAACCAUGGAAGGAAUUUCUCGAAGAUUAAAGCAGUUUUCUAUAAGAAUGUGUUCGAGGUUGGGAAAGGACUCAUCUGAUGCAUUCCAUGUUGUUAUUGUAAGGGAUCUUAAUUUAAGAACCUUGAGGUUCAGAAACUCUUCAUCUUCGAUCUCCCAUUUGUCCUGCUGAAAUACUCUAUGUUCCAACUUCAGAACCACUAAAUUUGGUAAUCUUCCGAUAUUAGACAGUUCACUUUGUGGCAACAAAACAUCUGAUAGAGUUAGCUUUGUUAGUGUCGCGGGCAAGGUGAAAUUCAAAAUCAUACCGUUUACACUGAGUGUUUCAAGUUGAAGAGCAUUUAAUUUGAGUUUGAGAGGCUCUUUACAGUGGCAUUUGAGUUUUCGCAGUCUGCUUUCUGUUUUAUUUAAGAAAUACUCCCUCCGUCCCAUUUUAUAUGAUGUACUUUGAUACCGUUUACACUGAGUGUUUCAAGUUGAAGAGCAUUUAAUUUGAGUUUGAGAGGCUCUUUACAGUGGCAUUUGAGUUUUCGCAGUCUGCUUUUCUGUUUUAUUUAAGAAAUACUCCCUCCGUCCCAUUUUAUAUGAUGUACUUUGAUUUGGCACAAACUUUAAGAAAAAUGGAAAGACUUUUAAAACUUGUGGUCCAAAAUGAAUGAUAGAAAUUUGUGUGGUUGUAAAUCAUUUCAUUAAGGGUAAAAAAGACAUUUUAUAGGCAAAUUGUUACUUAAAAUAGAAAUGUGUCAUUCUUUUUGGGACUGACUAAAAAGGAAAGUAAGUCAUAUAAAUUGGGACAGAGGGAGUAUUAUUUAAGACUGGUUUAAGAGUCGCCACUUAAUUUUUAAGAAAAAUCAAGAAAAACUGAUUUUCAAUAGAUUAAAACAGUGAAUCAAUUGAAAAUACUAAAGGGGGUUCGGGGGUUCUUAUAAAUAUUCUAGGAAGGUUUUUAAGGCACCUAGAAUAUCCACUAAUGUGGUUAUCCGACGAUUAACUACUUGGCUAAAAUAAUUGAACUUAAUUUGAUUUGAGCAAUUUUUAUUGUUAGAACCAUAUUAAAGGGAAAUACUUAAAUAUUAUCUAAGUGAGCUAAUUUUUAAAACUUAUUCUUUAAGUCUUGUUGAGUGAUGACUGAUUCAGUUAAAUUGUUAAAUCAAAAUAGGCGUCUUUCGGGGAUUUGAAUUUUUCAACCUUAAGGUUAGCGACAAAUAUUAACAAGCACACAAAUAUAAUAAAAUAAAGAGGGAAAGAGAUUUGGGCCCAAGUUUGGUUUUACUGUCCGCCUGGACCAAUACUUGGGCCCACUUUCGUUUUGGGGUUUUCGGCCCAUUUAAAUAAUCGGUACCUGUCCUAGUCUAACAAGAUAAUAACAAGGGCUUAGGCCCCCAAAAUAACAAAAAUACAAUUCCCGAAACUAAGAGUGGGCCUUUGGGUCCAUUUUCCUUCUUUCGUAUACACUAGAUGUCUACUAGUGUACACAAUCCCAUAUGUCUGCUUCGAAGACCUGUACGCUGAAUUCAUGGAAUUGCUCUUCAAUUCUAUUGGCUGGCCGACUCAAUGAAGGAUUUGAGCAUUUAUGGCUCUCUCGAAGUGAGGGGGAAGGAGAUAGGAGUUCAUAGUGAACUCGGACAUAUUUCACAAGCAAAACGAUAAAUAAGUAACAAAAUUAGCAUCUUCGGGAAGGAAAUGAAGUGAUAAGAUAAAAUAAAUAGAUAAGUAAAAUAACAUGCCAGUCAAUCAUUAACAACACAACGCCUAAACAAUAAUUUAAAAGGAAGACUGAUGAAGACUUGUUCAUUUUUACGUAUCAUGAAUGAGGAGCAGUGAUCAAGUACCAAGCAUUAGAACAAAGGUCAUAUGAGAUGUAAACUAAUAAGCUCUUAAUAAAGAUUAUUACUUAUUACAAGAUUAAAAUAACUACUAUGCAGGUUCAAAACAGAGAAGAAAGAAAUUUUAAUUAUAUAUAUAAUAUAAAAGAGAUAGUGAGCAAAUGUGGCAUCUACUAAAUGUGACUAUUGAAUGUUUAUCUCAAAGCACAAGAAUUGUUAGCUAAGCAAGCCUACAAUCAGUAGUUUAAGUAAAAGGAAAGAAACAUUCAAGUCACCUUUUGAACUUUUAAAAACAAUAUUAUAAACAAGUUAAGGUAGGUAGGAUUUAGUCAAAAUAUUAUUUUUUACAUAAGUGAGCUUUCUAAACAAAUAUAACAAUAAAAAAAAAAUUAGUCAAUGACUCAAAUUUUGCACAAGGGUAUAGCCUAAUACCGACAUUAUUUGGACAACUUUCUUAUUACUGAUUCUAACAUUUACGACACCGAAUUAAGCUAUGUAGAGAAGAAAAAAGGCCGGUGAUCACCAAAGCAAGUAAAAAUAUAUAGCAUCCUUAGCAACUGUUGAGACAUGCUGAAAUUAAAGAAGAAUAAAAGCCAAAAGUAUGGAUGUACAUUCACAGUUUUAUGUAUUCCCAAACUUAUCGAAAUUUGUUAAAAAUAUACAUGAGGCUCACGGAGAUAUCAAAUAGCAAAGUGGGCUGAUCCAUUUAUCCUAAAUGAGUAAACAUACAAAAUGAAUGAACAAAUACGGACUAUGACAUAUUUUACGCAUCCCGUAACCAAGAAAAAGUAGCACGAACUUACUUAAGGCAUGUCAAACUAAUCAAGAUCAAAAUUGUAUACCAUUUGGAACCAAACAACAAAAACAAUUCCCAUAAUUCUGGAAAAAUAAAAAAAAACACAUUCAAACUAGACCUGGACAACAUCUAAAUAAUUAGAGACAAAAUCAGAUAAACAAAAAUGAAAGAAUUAAUCAUACCACAAGACAACCAUAACAAAGUUUAAGCUAUACUAAUCCGGACAAGACUAUUGAUCUAAACUCAAAAAUAAGUGCAGGAAGAGCUAGAUCCUACAAGACUGGUCUAAUGUAAUUUAUGAGGGUCUAUAACAGUGAAUAAAAAAUAAAGAGAAGACAACCAAGACCACAAAUGACCAAUAGAGAAGCAGAACGAGUCAAAAAUUAAGCUACAAAGGGAAUAAUUUAAAGACUCAUAUUUAAACUAACACAUGCUUCCAUACAUGAGUAAUUUAAUCAAAAUAAGUUAGAACAAAAUGAAACCAAAGAAACUCCGCAGCAACAAGUUUAUCACACAACAUUUAAAACAUAAACAAAGCGCGGAAGAGGGAAGAGAUAUUACCUUUUCCGGGCAGCGAAACUGAGACAAGAACGAGCUUGGAGCGACUUCAACACAACCUUGAACUCGAGCACCAGACCAAAGAAAAGAUCGAGUCGACCUCGAACGAGAACUUCUCGUAUCCUUAAGACUAGGGAACCGUCUAAGACUUCUCAAGUGUAAAUUUAUUCCAAGAAAUCCAACCCCCAAAUCCCUUCCUUUUUUUUUUUUUUUAACAUAUGAAAAAAGAGCCACCUUUAUAGGUAAAAACUCCAGCAGAAAAUGGGGGGAAACGGAUGAAAAAAACGGGCAGAGAUCCCCCAUCCCCAAUUCAAACUUCAAAAUUUAUUCACAAACUUAGAGAGACAACAUUUUUUCAAAAUUUCGCCCCAUUCCCAAAGAGGAAAAAGGGAGAAACGCGUGCUGCUGCGACAUUAAUGUGGAUAGGGACGUCUGAAGAAGAAGCCAAAUCUGUAGUGUACGUCUCUCUGCUCCUCGCUACUUUUCGUCUGAUCGCUCUGUAUUUUUUGUUAUGAACGUUGGGGCUGCUGGGUUUGUAUUGUGAAGGAAAAGGGGAGGUGGGCCGGGUUAAAGGGGGGAAUUGUGGGUUGAGGCGGUAGGGUGAGAAAUAAAAGAAAGGAAAAGGGAAUUGGGGAAAUUACGGUCGGUCAGGUAUUGUUGUUGUUGUCAAGUUGUAUUGUAUGUAGUGUUACAUGUGGGUGGGUUUUGGUAUUAAAUUUGGGCUGGGAAUUAUGGAAUUGCUGAUGGGUUUAAAGAAGGGAUGGAUUGUUGGUAUUAUAUUCUGGGAAUGGGUAUUUGGAAUCAGAUAAAUACAAUGGGUUAUGGGAGUUGGCAAAAUGGCCUGAUUUGGUCUAAAAGAAAAGAGUUCUAUCGGAUUUAACAAUUAGCCAACUUUGAUAAACUAGUGAAUUCGACUAAAAAUUAAAUAAGACGAAUUAAUAUAAUUAACUAACGAGCUUCUUAAUCUUAACGAAAUAAAAUAAUCAACUUAAUUAUUAGUCAAUUUGAAUAACUCAAAAUUAUGACUAUAAAUACUACCAAACUAUAUUAAUAAAAUAUUCAUUUUAACAAAGUAGAAAUCUUUUGAAUAUGAUUUUUAAAUAUUAUAAAAUGUACUAAUCAUAUAUGUAAUUAUAUGAAAUAUAUUUAUCAUUCAAAAUGCUAUAAAAGUCGAUUGAAAUUAUUCAACUAACCUUGAAAUUAUUUAAAUUUUGUAAAGCUAAUUAUUCUAAAUCAUUUAGAAUUUAAGAAGCUCGAUGAUUAAUUUAUAUUGUGGAGGUCCAAAAAUUGGGUGUCAACACUUGCCUUCUUGACCAUGUAGUCUACUAGCUCAUUAGUGAGAGACACUGUGGCCAAGGUCUCGAUGCAACAUAUGUUUGUCGAUGUCUGAGGAAUGCGUCCAUCAAAAGAUGCAACAGGUUCAACAUGUACAUGCUUUAGCCUUGGCAUAUUCCAGAUGGUCAUCGGUAAAAUUGUGCCACUGCCUACUGUUAUUACAAGCAAUACCUCUAGGUUUGAAAGGUUCGAUAUCCAUAAUGGCAUAGAUACCAUAUAGCCUUUGAUUCCUAAGUACUUCAAAUGGAUCAGCUCUUUUGAUCUCUGGAAUGAACUCUCCGACAUAGUACAUUCCAUUUGUAGUACUCUUAAUAGUUUAAAGUUCUCAAGAUCAAGAAAUUCCUGGCAGCCAGAUUUCGGGGGUCUGAAGAAUGCAGAUCGAACUUGCAUGUUUCCAAUCUUCCCUGCCCAAUAAAGGCUAUGAUGAAUGCAAAGCCUCCGGUGCUCAUAAAAGGAACUAGACAAAUCAGUCUUCCCGGUGCUUGUUAGUUGCAUAAACUUCUCUUCCUUAGACUUUGUCACGCAAAAAUCAUGUAACAUAUCAUGAAUGCGGCAUGUUCUGACUCCUCCAGUGGACUUUCUCUUGCUCACCAUUAUCAAGCUUCUACCGAUGAGAUCAUUCAGUAAAAUUUUUGCAUCGAGCCCUAUGUUUGGCACCAAUCCCUCGAUAGUCCAUAACCAUGCCAAGUUUGAGAGUGGAAUUUCUUCAUCCUCCUGAAAUGAUGCAAAAUAUAGAAAGCAGGGUUUGAGAUGAUCUGGCAUGUGCUUGUAGCUCAGUUCUAUAACCUCCAUGCACUCUUUUGCACUAGUAACAGUAUCUAACUUUAUACUUUCUGCGAUUCUUCUCCAACUUUCCUCAUUUUCGCUUAUCCCAGACAAAACUCCAGCAACCAAAAUCACAAGGAGAGGUAGUCCUUUACACUUACUUGCGAUGUUUGCUCCUACUUUUGAUAGGUCAGGCGGGCAAGUUUGUUCCUUGAACAGCUUGAUUCUCAUUAGUUCCCAACUUUCAUUUUCGUCAAGGAAACGAAGGUGAAGAGGUGCUCUAUCAGGUUUAAUUUUUGAAGCCACAUCGCUGAGUCUGCUAGUUAAUAAAAUCCUGCUUCCGUUAUUAUCAUCCGGUAAGCAUCUUCUCAAGUAUUUCCAUGUCUCAACACUCCAUAUGUCAUCAAUGUAGAGAAGGUACUUCUUUCUUAACAGAAAUUUCCGCAAAGCAUCUUCUGGAUUUUUCUCAUUCUGUUGGUUAGAGCCUUUGACUUGAUUCAAAAUUCCGAGCGGCAACUUUCUUCUGUCAUAAGUUUGGGAAACACAACACAUAGCUUGGAUGUCAAAAUGACGCUGCAUUUUCUCAUCAUGAAAAACUUUCUUUGCUAGUGUAGUUUUUCCAAGACCAGGCAUCCCUACGAUAGACACAACAUCCAAGUUCUUUGGUCCUAUAGUGAGCUGUUCGAUUAGCAAGUCAGUCUCAUCCUUAAAACCCACCAUUACCUCAUCAAGUUGUGUAGUCUCAACUACUUGUCUGACAGGAUUUGGUGUUUGUUCUUCAAUAGGGCCUUCAACUUCUUGCGUAAUCGUAGCAUGGAACUCUUUCAAAUGAUCCCUUACAACCUUAGUUUCUGUUGUGAUCUUACAUAACAAAUGUAGAUACCAAACAGGAUAAUCUCCGGUAACCAGGCAAUCAAUUAUGCAUUCUGCCUGGUAUGCUAGAGAUAUGACUUCUGUCCAUAGAUCAUGUUUCUUCACCUCCUCAAACUCAUGUUUUUUCUUCUCAACUUCCUUCAAGAAGUAUCUUAAGAGAUAUAACUCUUCCCGAGCUUCUUCAAUAUGAUGCUUGACAACAGAAUCACACUUUCCGUCUUGCAGCAGCUCUUUNNNNNNNNNNNNNNNNNNNNNNNNNNNNNNNNNNNNNNNNNNNNNNNNNNNNNNNNNNNNNNNNNNNNNNNNNNNNNNNNNNNNNNNNNNNNNNNNNNNNNNNNNNNNNNNNNNNNNNNNNNNNNNNNNNNNNNNNNNNNNNNNNNNNNNNNNNNNNNNNNNNNNNNNNNNNNNNNNNNNNNNNNNNNNNNNNNNNNNNNNNNNNNNNNNNNNNNNNNNNNNNNNNNNNNNNNNNNNNNNNNNNNNNNNNNNNNNNNNNNNNNNNNNNNNNNNNNNNNNNNNNNNNNNNNNNNNNNNNNNNNNNNNNNNNNNNNNNNNNNNNNNNNNNNNNNNNNNNNNNNNNNNNNNNNNNNNNNNNNNNNNNNNNNNNNNNNNNNNNNNNNNNNNNNNNNNNNNNNNNNNNNNNNNNNNNNNNNNNNNNNNNNNNNNNNNNNNNNNNNNNNNNNNNNNNNNNNNNNNNNNNNNNNNNNNNNNNNNNNNNNNNNNNNNNNNNNNNNNNNNNNGCAUUUUCUCAUCAUGAAAAACUUUCUUUGCUAGUGUAGUUUUUCCAAGACCAGGCAUCCCUACGAUAGACACAACAUCCAAGUUCUUUGGUCCUAUAGUGAGCUGUUCGAUUAGCAAGUCAGUCUCAUCCUUAAAACCCACCAUUACCUCAUCAAGUUGUGUAGUCUCAACUACUUGUCUGACAGGAUUUGGUGUUUGUUCUUCAAUAGGGCCUUCAACUUCUUGCGUAAUCGUAGCAUGGAACUCUUUCAAAUGAUCCCUUACAACCUUAGUUUCUGUUGUGAUCUUACAUAACAAAUGUAGAUACCAAACAGGAUAAUCUCCGGUAACCAGGCAAUCAAUUAUGCAUUCUGCCUGGUAUGCUAGAGAUAUGACUUCUGUCCAUAGAUCAUGUUUCUUCACCUCCUCAAACUCAUGUUUUUUCUUCUCAACUUCCUUCAAGAAGUAUCUUAAGAGAUAUAACUCUUCCCGAGCUUCUUCAAUAUGAUGCUUGACAACAGAAUCACACUUUCCGUCUUGCAGCAGCUCUUUUAGAUAGCGUAAGAGGGAAUCGAUGAACCCCAAUCCAUUUGUCCUAGGAAAAUUACAUUUUGAUGACACUACAUCUUUCAAAAUCACAUCUUUUAGAUCUUCCAUGACAUGCUCAAUCUUUUUUAACAAGUCACUGAAUACCGAGUUAACUUCUGCUGCUUUGUCAACGGAGAAAGAGAAAGCAGCAGAUACUACCUCAGCAAUCAGACCUUCAAUGCAAGUAAGUUUGUCACUCAUUUUUUCCUGGAUAACAUAUAAAUCUUCAGGUGGAGAAAUGAGCAAAGUUAUCAAUUGCUUUGAUGCUUCGGCAAGGCUUUUGAUUUGAUCCUUUUUAAGAGGAAGCAUCAAAGAACAUGCCUCACCGUCUGAUAACUCCAACAAAUCCUUGAAGAUGAAAUGAACAAAACCUUCAACAAAUUCUAUCACAUCCCGGCUGUAUUGGAUUUGCAAUUUAACUGAACCUCUUAGAGCUCCAGUAUAGAUUUCUGCAACGUCCGGAUCAAUGGGCUUGAUAUCUUUCAAAACAUGAGAGAUUUGUAGUGUCAACACAGAUGCUGAAUCUCCAUCCAUUUCUUCCACAUAACAAAGGUAACAUAUGUAUGCAGCAUUCACUGUGAUGCCCUCUAUAUGAUUAAAAAGAAUGUUGGAUUUCUCUAGCUCCAUGCUUGCAUCUUUUAUGAAAUUGAGGAAGGUUUUUAGAUAUUUUAGACUUUCUUCAAGGACUUGAAACUCUUUCUUCAGAAGUACAAACUUGUCGAAAUCUUUCUUGUUGAUGAGAAGAUCCUUCACAUUCUGAAGGAUGUGCUCAAUGAAUUUCUGAAACACUGGGCUGCAUAAAUUUGGUAAAGGCCACCUCCCUGGAACCAAUGAAAGGAGAAACUCAUAACCUUCUUUGACUUCAGCAGAAGAUAAGUCUGCCCUUGGUCCCGAGACAGUGUCACCGACUUGCAUUCCAUGUCCGCGCAAUCUCCCCUCCUUAAUCCUUCCUUUUUGAGUUGCCCAAAACAAAAAAGUACCAAGAAAUCUCCUCUCUAUUUCAGACAUUUGUUUUCCAGCAGAAUUUCCUCAGAGUGGAUAUAUGUCGACAGCUCUGCAAGCAAAGAGAUUAAAAGCAAAUCACAUUCUAGGACAAACAAGAAAUUAACACAAAAUUCCUUUAUAUGUUGAUUGCACUCUUCCUCUUGUAUCAGAACAUUAUGCUUGAUUGUAACUAACAAACAGAUAAUAUUUAAGAAAAAGAUGUGUGUGAUCACAAAUAACAAAAACUGUUUGGUUGCACUAAAUGUUUUCUGGAAAAUGUGAAGUUAUAUCUGAAAGUCACAAUGCAUACUCUUAACUCUACACAACUAGGGGAAUGGGGAAAAAAGUCACCAGGAAAAACAAUAACAGAAAAAGAACUGGUUCCAAAGAGUUCUGAUUGUCUACUACUUACUUUUGCCUAAACUAGUUACCCUUUGUUAAUCCAAGCAAGUGAAAUUGUACUGAUACUAGGGUCAACCUUCAAUAUUUCCUAGCGAAUUGUCACGAUUUGUUUUUUUGAUGCUCAGGACAAAAUAAUGACUUCAUAUAUCAAUGCUACUUAUGUGAUUUUGAUUGUCAGGAAGUUUGCUUCAAAAUAGUUAUUACUAUAUAAAUAUUGUCUUUUUGUUUUUCUUAUUUACUAUUUCUUAAUAUUUUCAGUAUUUUAGACGAAGAAAGGUUCAUAUGACUUGUAAUAACGCUAGUUGUAAGUUUGUAUUAGUUUAAUACUUAUUAUUUAUUUAAUAGCUAAUUUUUAUGCUAUAAAUAUUUUUAUUAAUGCAAAUCUCUCUCUCUCUCUCUAAAUAUAUAUAUAUAUAUAUAUUUGGGUAGAUAUUUGUAUUUAAAUUAAUGUAUUAUAUAUGUCACGACUCACAAAUGUAUUAUCAAGUUAACAAAAUCUUCUAACUUCAAUAUAUAUUAUUUUAAAAUGUUCCGAGUUCUUUUUUUAAAAAAAAAAACUCACAACAAAUGUGAAAAUAUGUGAACAUAUAUGAAUCAUUUAAAAUUUAUCAUUUACAAAGUACAUUUUUUAUUCAGUAAUAUGGAAUAAACAUUUUCAUUUUUCCCUACACUAAAUUAAAAUCUAAUAACUAUAAAAAAAUAGUAACAUUAAUUAAAAUCCUAUUUAUUUAUGUAAGUAUAUAAUCUAUUAGAAAUUCAGCUAUUGCACAUUAAUUCUUUAGUUAUAACAUUAUAAAUUCUCUUCGUUAUUACCAAUUAUUGCAAACGUUAUUCACACUCUUUUACAUUCUUUAGUUAUAGUAUUGUGAAUUCUCAUAGUUAUUACAUUAAUUAUUUCUAUCUUUCAUCUUUCCUUAUAUUAACUGUUGACCAAUAAUUUUUUAUAUUAUUAUACAACCCCUAUAUAUGUGAUAACACGGUGUUAUUUUUCCUUGGAUGAAUUAUGCUUAGUUGAAUAAAUUGAAAAUCGUUUACAAGUAUAUGAACUAUAUCUUUGUUGGGUGUAAGAUAAACAUGUGAUUAUAUAUAUGAUUUCACAGAUAGAAUAUAUUCUUUAAUUUUAAUUUUUAGUUUUACCGGUAAAAAAAAGGAAACUUUUCUCAGUUAACUAUGGACAGUCAGAUAACUAUCUUUGAUUUAUGUACACAAUCAAUCGAGAAGUCAAAUAUGAGAACCAACAACAAGAACGUCAGCUAUUAUGCUAUAACUUAUAAAAUAAAAAUUAAUAUACAAAAAUAGUUCUAAAAAAUAAAAUUUUGUUGUUUUCUUCACAUGUUCAUAUGACAUCUAAACAGUUUAACAUGGAAUACAUGUGCAAAACACAUCUAGUUUGACAAGAAAAUACACAACAAAUAUCGUUUAUAAGGUAAUAUUAGUGAGAUACGACUAAUUACAUGAUUAAACCUCAUCAAAUUAAAAUAAAUAUAUACAUUAUUGCAUUUAACAAGUUAGUCAGAAAUAGCUCUAAGGUCACGACUCGGUAUCAUAUUAGAUCAUUGACAUCCCACAUUACCUUUUCAUUACUACUAAAUACCAACUGCCUAUAUAGAAAAUUAGUUCACAGCCCUGCUUUUCGCCAACUUCAGAAUUUUGGAAAUAGAAAGGAGAGUUGACCUUACCUUAAUCAACGGAGUAUAUAAUAUUGAUCUUGGAGAAGUGUCUACGAAAUUUACCUUUUCGUAUGGUAGGAAAGAUGGUUUUUCUAUAUAUAUGUUCAUUUUUUCUUACACAACUCCAUAGCAGCCGUUUCUCUCUCUAAUUAGAUCAUUGAAAUAUCUCAUGAUUUACGGAAGAAAGUCCUCAUUUGCUGCUACCAAUUUCACCACUUUGUCAAACAUCAGUUAAUUGGCAAAGAAAAGUCAAAUAAGACAAAGUUAAACAUUAUUCUUGUCAUUGAUUUCACUCAUGAUAUUAUUAGUAUAGAAAGCAGAAUGAGGUAUACCAGUCGUAUAAAAAAAUAGUCUGGUAAGAAAAAUAGAGCGUUAGCGAUCAUCUGUUAUCGGAACUAGCAAUAUGGAUCCUAACUCAUUAGCUCUUAAGCUAGCCAACUUGUAUAGGUGUUUCAGUACUAAUUCCCAUUUGACAGAGAAUUUAAACUUGUUUGUUGAAUUAAUCCAACAUAUUGACGCUGAAGCAAUAGUCCAUUACAUUGAUAUAUUACACCCUAUGUUCCUAAACACGUUGAAUGAUUCCCUGGUUAAUCUAGACGUGAAGAUCACUGCCCUGACGGCGAUGAGUAACUUCAUUCAACGGGUGGGGAGUUCAAAAGAUAGGGAGAGGUUUCAGGAUCUGUUGCCUGCGAUGAUGGACUUGCUGAAUGAGGCAUUGGAUAAAAAAUGUGAGGCAUCAGCGCAGUCUGAGUUCGAGAUUUUGAUCGAGUUGGCCAAGAAUGAGCCUAGCUUCUUCAGGAUGCAGCUUGUGGUUGUGGUGGGCUCCAUGUUUGAUAUAGCUGAAUGUGAGAGUUAUGAAAAGAAAACGAGACAUUUGGCGGUUGAAUUCGUGAUGACUUUGGUUGAGGCCAGGGAGAAGACCCCUGGCAUGAUCAAGAAGUAUCCAUUGUUUACUGAAAAAUAUUUUGCAAUUUUAUUGAAUUUGUUAGAGGAUGAGGUUUAUGACCCUCUCUUGCCUGAUCCUUAUGAUAUAUGGGAUAGAAAUGAUGAUUUCGUUUUUCUUAAGAUGUGUUUACGGCGGUUGUCCAAUGCGCUGGGUGGUAAGACUGUUGGUCCUGUUGCCUUUGAGCAGCUCCGUGCUCACUUGGCUGACGACUCGUGGCAGAAGCCAUGCGCAGCACUCUAUGCACUUGCUCAGAUUGUUGAAGGCUGCUCAGAGGUGUGUAUUUAUUGAUACACUACUAAGAAUUGCAUUUAAACUGAUUAGUUAACGAUCUUGGGAUAGCAGAAGGUCACCUUGAUUAUACUUUCUUCUGUUAUUCUCUAGACUAAGUACUUUGCUUGCUCUCAUCUCUUCUUCAUUAUAAUAGGUGAUGAUUAAGAAUAUGAAUCUAGUGGUGACAAUGGUUCUGGAUUGUAUGGGACAUCCUCAUCCUGGAGUCAGAUUCACCUCCAUGGAAGCAGUUCGCGAGUUUUUGAGUUUCAUGUGUCCCCAUUUUCAAGAACACUAUCAUCAGCAAGUAGUGCCGGCAUUAAUUAAAGCUAUGGAUGAUGACAGUGUACAAGUGCAGGUCUGUUUGUCCUACGAUGAUAUGAAUUCCUUUGGAUGCUAGUAUCAUUUGUCCCAAAUUACAGUUGCAAAAUUUUCUUACUGAACCUUCUCAAUGGCCUUAACUUUAACUUUAUUAGAUAUAAUCCCUGCUCUAACUUUACUAUCUUCAUAUUUUCCUUCACGUUGGCAUGACUGAAUAUUUGACACUUUACAUCCAUGGAUUACACAAUAAAUUGCUUCAACUGUCGUCACAUACUGUUGAGAAGGUACGUAUUGUAGACUAAGUGCAAGAGAAAUCAGAUCAUUUUCUUGAACAAUGAACAGACAAUAUUACGAAUACAUUAAGGGAAACAACCAUAAUUUCCAAGUUCCCAAUAUAAUUAUCCCGCCGUCCUUUAUAAAUUCAAAGUUUGUUACUCCCUUGAAUGUCCUUGAGGUCUUUACUUGCCUGAUAUAUUUUUGUUUUUGACAUGAAAGGUCCAAUUAUCAGCGUCAGCUGCACUCGAACUUUUGGCUAAGCAUUUUAAGGUAUUACCUAGUAAUUCUGCUUCAACUUUUAUUAAGAGUAUGUUGUAUUUAAGCCUGGUUUUUAUAUAUAUAUUAAUAUUAACAUUACUUCAACAGGAGUUCUAUGGGAACAACUACGAAUCUAAUAAACCACUUUGGAAAGCUUCCCUGGUAGAAGCAAAUUUUCCAAGUAAAGAUGUAGAGAUGAUCAUGUCAGUGCACGAACCUGGCAGUUCGGUACUUCCGAAACAGGUCUUCCACCAGUUAUACCAAAUGGAUUCUAUACAUCUCACUCAACUUAGAGCUUAUUGUUUAUUCGUUUUCUAUUUUUCUGUUGUUGACAUAAUGUCACUUUAAGAUUAUGGAAGCAAUUAUGUCAUUACAAGGAUCACAAGAGGAUGAUAAGGAUACAAGUACGAUCUACAAGCUAAAGGUAUGUGUUGUUGAGAAUAUCGUUAACUAAUAAAAUGGUGUUCUCUCUAAUAGCUUAAGCUUUUAGAUGAGAUGGUCACACACUUCANNNNNNNNNNNNNNNNNNNNNNNNNNNNNNNNNNNNNNNNNNNNNNNNNNNNNNNNNNNNNNNNNNNNNNNNNNNNNNNNNNNNNNNNNNNNNNNNNNNNNNNNNNNNNNNNNNNNNNNNNNNNNNNNNNNNNNNNNNNNNNNNNNNNNNNNNNNCAGGCAGAGGCCCUGGGAUCAAAUCUCUUCGCCACCCAAAUUAAAAAGAAUUUCCACGUGCUAAUCAGUCAGAAAUUCUUUCAAGAUUGGUCUUUCUAUAUUUCUUGAUCUCAUUCCAGGUUGUCACACUUGGACUUCUCUCUUUUUCUUUCUUUCUACCCGUGCUUUUGAUCGCGAACUGAAAAUUUAACAAGUGGUUUCAAUGGCCUAAUGCUUGAUAAAUGAUACAGACUGCUUCAAUUUUAUUUCCACUUUUGAAAUUCCAUUUCAAAGAGGUCAGGUUCCAUACAGUUGAAGGUGAGAUUUCUCAGGAUUUCACAUAGUUAAUUUCUCCGUCUUUUAUAACUAUCUGAUCACCGCCAAGACUUUUUAAUUUGUAAUGUUUAUAGCGAUGAAGCACCUUUUGCAAUCUGCUAAACUGGCUGAUGAGAAAGGGAUUGCUCCAGGUGAAAGCCAUUCGGAUUUCAAGCAGUUUUCGGACAGUAUAAUACUGAAUUUGGUGGAAGCUUUGCAUGAGGUUUACUUUUAACAUUAAGCUUCUUCUUUUUGGAUAAUGAGAAAGUAACACUUUGAUUUCUAUAUAAUGCAGGAGCUUGAAACAGAGAUAUAUGCACAUAUGUUGAAUACAUUACGACUGUGCCUUCAGGUUCGUGAUCUUUAAACACUGCUUAUUUGUUUUGAUCCAAAGUUUUCAGUGUUUCACUAUGAGCUAGGUAUGAAGUUUUUGGAACUGUUGCCUUUAAGUCUAUUGCUUAAAAUGUUCCAUUAGUAUCAUCAAAGUGAGAAACUAGCAAUGGUGACAAAAAUCGAGUUAGAAUGGCAAAAUAGGAUUUUUCAGGUUGUAUAUGGUCCUUGUGUUUCUUCUUUCAGAUAUGUGGACCACUUCUCAAUGAAGAUCAGCUUCGUCCAGUCGUGGAUGAGAUAAAGCAUGUCAUUACAGAAAAUUUAAAUAGCCAAGGAAAACUCACAGAGAGAGAAAAAACAGAAGACUUCGAUGCUGAGGAAGCUGAAUUGCUGAGAGGGGAAAAACAUCAACAAGAUCAAAUAUUUAAACUUGUAUGUUCUAUAUUAAAACAGGAACUAAAGUGAUACACUGUUGUCUUUAUAUAUUCAAGCAUUUUCGCUUUGGUUCUGCUGUUAUUCUUGAACAGGCUGGUGGCAUAUUAGGUAGACUAAUCGAAUCAUUCAAGGUUGUUUUCUUGCCUUACUUUGACGAGCUAUCAUUAUAUCUGAUUCCGAUGUGGGUAAGUUCAUUGACACUAUUGUAACAUGACGUUAGUUUAUCAUUAUUCAUAUCUAGCAUAUCUUAUUGUUUCCGAUUUUUGUUAAGGACAAAGAAAUGACAAGUCUAGAGAGAUGUACAUCACUUUAUAUCUUUGGUGGUCUUGUGAAGCAUUGCUCUGAAGCAGCUCUAAAGUGAGUUUAAUUUAUCUGUAUGAGUUUUUCUUAAAUUAUUGGGGUGUCACCAUUUUGAUAAAUCACUUACUUCCUAUGCCAACUAGGUACUGUAAUGAAUUUCUACCUUUGCUUCUGAAAUCAAGCAAUGACGAAAACCCAGCAGUUAGACAGGUUUGGAUCAUCGUGAUUGCUUACAUUCCUGUUACUCAAGUUGGUUGCUCACAGUAUGGUUUAACCAAAACACCAAUGACUUCAUGUUCAGAAUGCUCUACAUGGACUUGGGUUUUAUGCAGAAUAUCAUGGUUCUGUUUUCAAACCUUUUGUUAGAGGUAUUAAUAUUGUUGAAUGUGAUACUUCUAAUCAAGCAAGUGUUUUUGUUAACUUACGCGUUUAUGUUCAGAGGCUAUGUCACGGAUCAAUGUAGUGAUAAUGCAUUUACGUGCUCGUGAACCUGAGAAUGAACUUGCAUAUGAUAGUGCUGUUUUUACCCUUGGUAAAAUAUUUCAGUUUCAUCGAGAACUUAUCGACUCAGCCCAGGUUUGUCCUUCUCAGAAUCCCUAAUGUUAAGUCUUGUUAUAAUUUCUGAUUCUGAAUCCUUGUGUAGGUCAUUCCCAUUUGGUUGAAUUGCCUGCC
rnacentral:lncRNA from 1 species